rnacentral:rRNA from 1 species
UACGAAGGGUGCAAACGUUGCUCGGAAUCAUUGGGCGUAAAGCGCACGUAGGCGGCCUUGCAAGUCGGAUGUGAAAUCCCACGGCUCAACCGUGGACGUGCAUCCGAAACUGCUCGGCUCGAGUAUGGAAGAGGGUCGCGGAAUUCCCGGUGUAGAGGUGAAAUUCGUAGAUAUCGGGAGGAACACCAGUGGCGAAGGCGGUGACCUGGGCCAAUACUGACGCUGAGGUGCGAAAGCGUGGGGAGCAAACAGG